CACGUAGGCGGAUAUUUAAGUCAGGGGUGAAAUCCCAGAGCUCAACCCUGGAACUGCCUUUGAAACUAGAUGGCUUGAAUCUUGGAGAGGCGAGUGGAAUUCCGAGUGUAGAGGUGAAAUUCGUAGAUAUUCGGAAGAACACCAGUGGCGAAGGCGACUCGCUGGACAAGUAUUGACGCUGAGGUGCGAAAGCGUGGGGAGCAAACA
rnacentral:rRNA from 1 species